AACGAACGCUGGCGGCAUGCCUAACACAUGCAAGUCGAACGAAGGCUUCGGCCUUAGUGGCGCACGGGUGCGUAACGCGUGGGAAUCUGCCCUUAGGUUCGGAAUAACAGUUAGAAAUGACUGCUAAUACCGGAUGAUGACGUAAGUCCAAAGAUUUAUCGCCUGAGGAUGAGCCCGCGUAGGAUUAGCUAGUUGGUGUGGUAAAGGCGCACCAAGGCGACGAUCCUUAGCUGGUCUGAGAGGGUGAUCAGCCACACUGGGACUGAGACACGGCCCAGACUCCUACGGGAGGCAGCAGUGGGGAAUAUUGGACAAUGGGCGCAAGCCUGAUCCAGCAAUGCCGCGUGAGUGAUGAAGGCCUUAGGGUUGUAAAGCUCUUUUACCCGUGAUGAUAAUGACAGUAGCGGGAGAAUAAGCCCCGGCUAACUCCGUG
rnacentral:rRNA from 1 species